rnacentral:rRNA from 1 species
AAUGAACGCUAGCGGCAGGCCUAAUACAUGCAAGUCGAACGAUAGUAUUAAGCUUGCUUAAUAUGAAAGUGGCGCACGGGUGCGUAACGCGUAUGAAACCUACCUUAAUCAGGGGGAUAGCCUUUCGAAAGAAAGAUUAAUACCGCAUAAUAUCACGAUGGGGCAUCCUGUUGUGAUCAAAUAUUUAUAGGAUUAAGAUGGUCAUGCGUGACAUUAGCUAGUUGGAGAGGUAAUGGCUCACCAAGGCGACGAUGUCUAGGGGAUCUGAGAGGAUGG